rnacentral:rRNA from 1 species
UACGUAGGGGGCUAGCGUUGUCCGGAUUUAUUGGGCGUAAAGAGCGUGUAGGCGGCCAUUUGGGUCCGGUGUGAAAGCUCGAGGCUUAACCUCGAGAUGUCAUCGGAAACCAUUUGGCUAGAGUCCGGAAGAGGAGAGUGGAAUUCCUGGUGUAGCGGUGAAAUGCGCAGAUAUCAGGAAGAACACCAAUGGCGAAGGCAGCUCGCUGGGACGGUACUGACGCUGAGGCGCGAAAGCGUGGGGAGCAAACAGG